AACGAACGCUGGCGGCGUGCUUAACACAUGCAAGUCGAACGGAAAGGGCCUGCUUGUUUGUGGUUCUCGAGGUGCGAACGGGUGAGUAACACGUGAGUAACCUGCCCUUGACUGUGUGAUAACUUCAGGAAACUGGUACUAAUACCGGAUAGGAGCUCCUGCUGCAUGGUGGGGGUUGGAAAGUUUCGGCGGUUGGGGAUGGACGCGCGGCUUAUGAGCUUGUUGGUUGGGUAGUUGCUUACCAAGGUUUUGACGGGUAGCCGGCCUGAGAGGGUGAACGGCGACAUUGGUCCUGCGAUACGGAGCAGACUCCUACGGGAGGCAGCAGUCGGGAAUAUUACACAAUGAGGGGGAGUGUGAUGCAGAAACCCUGCGUGCGGGAUGACCGCCAUCGGGUUGUAAACCGCAUUCACUUGUGACGAAGCGUGAGUGACGGUAACGGCUAAAGAAGCACCGGCUAACUACGUG
rnacentral:rRNA from 1 species